rnacentral:rRNA from 1 species
GACGAACGCUGGCGGCGUGCUUAACACAUGCAAGUCGAACGGAAAGGCCCUGCUUUUGUGGGGUGCUCGAGUGGCGAACGGGUGAGUAACACGUGAGUAACCUGCCCUUGACUUUGGGAUAACUUCAGGAAACUGGGGCUAAUACCGGAUAGGAGCUCCUGCUGCAUGGUGGGGGUUGGACAGUUGCGGCGGUUGGGGAUGGACUCGCGGCUUAUCAGCUUGUUGGUGGGGUAGUGGCUUACCAAGGCUUCGACGGGUAGCCGGCCUGAGCGGGUGACCGGCCACAUUGGGACUGAGAUACGGCCCAGACUCGUACGGGAGGCAGAAGUGGGGAAUAUUGCACAAUGGGCGGAAGCCUGAUGCAGCAACGCCGCGUGCGGGAUGACGGCCUUCGGGUUGUAAACCGCUUUCGCCUGUGACGAAGCGUGAGUGACGGUAAUGGGUAAAGAAGCACCGGCUAACUACGUG